rnacentral:rRNA from 1 species
CAUGUAUCACUGUAGGGGGUAGAGCACUGUUUCGGCUAGGGGGUCAUCCCGACUUACCAAACCGAUGCAAACUCCGAAUACCUACAAGUGCCGAGCAUGGGAGACACACGGCGGGUGCUAACGUGCGUCGUGAAAAGGGAAACAACCCAGACCGUCAGCUAAGGUCCCAAAGUUAUGGUUAAGUGGGAAACGAUGUGGGAAGGCUUAGACAGCUAGGAGGUUGGCUUAGAAGCAGCCACCCUUUAAAGAAAGCGUAAUAGCUCACUAGUCGAGUCGGCCUGCGCGGAAGAUGUAACGGGGCUCAAACCAUACACCGAAGCUACGGGUAUCACCUUCGGGUGAUGCGGUAGAGGAGCGUUCUGUAAGCCUGUGAAGGUGAGUUGAGAAGCUUGCUGGAGGUAUCAGAAGUGCGAAUGCUGACAUGAGUAACGAUAAUGGGUGUGAAAAACACCCACGCCGAAAGACCAAGGUUUCCUGCGCAACGUUAAUCGACGCAGGGUUAGUCGGUCCCUAAGGCGAGGCUGAAAAGCGUAGUCGAUGGAAAACAGGUUAAUAUUCCUGUACUUCUGGUUAUUGCGAUGGAGGGACGGAGAAGGCUAGGCCAGCUUGGCGUUGGUUGUCCAAGUCUGAGACUGCCAAGGCACACAGGGCAUAGGUAAAUCCGGGAUUCUAAGGCCGAGAGCUGAUGACGAGUUAACUUUUAGUUAACGAAGUGGUUGAUGCCAUGCUUCCAAGAAAAGCUUCUAAGCUUCAGGUAACCAGGAACCGUACCCCAAACGACACAGGUGGUUGGGUAGAGAAUACCAAGGCGCUUGAGAGAACUCGGGUGAAGGAACUAGGCAAAAUGGCACCGUAACUUCGGGAGAAGGUGCGCCGGUGAGGGUGAAGGACUUGCUCCGUAAGCUCAUGCCGGUCGAAGAUACCAGGCCGCUGCGACUGUUUAAUAAAAACACAAGCACUCUGCAAAACACGAAAGUGGACGUAUAGGGUGUGACGCCUGCCCGGUGCCGGAAGGUUAAUUGAUGGGGUUAGCUAACGCGAAGCUCUUGAUCGAAGCCCCGGUAAACGGCGGCCGUAACUAUAACGGUCCUAAGGUAGCGAAAUUCCUUGUCGGGUAAGUUCCGACCUGCACGAAUGGCGUAACGAUGGCGGCGCUGUCUCCACCUGAGACUCAGUGAAAUUGAAAUCGCUGUGAAGAUGCAGUGUAUCCGCGGCUAGACGGAAAGACCCCGUGAACCUUUACUAUAGCUUUGCACUGGACUUUGAAUUUGCUUGUGUAGGAUAGGUGGGAGGCUUUGAAGCGUGGACGCCAGUUCGCGUGGAGCCAACCUUGAAAUACCACCCUGGCAACUUUGAGGUUCUAACUCAGGUCCGUUAUCCGGAUCGAGGACAGUGUAUGGUGGGUAGUUUGACUGGGGCGGUCUCCUCCUAAAGAGUAACGGAGGAGUACGAAGGUGCGCUCAGACCGGUCGGAAAUCGGUCGUAGAGUAUAAAGGCAAAAGCGCGCUUGACUGCGAGACAGACACGUCGAGCAGGUACGAAAGUAGGUCUUAGUGAUCCGGUGGUUCUGUAUGGAAGGGCCAUCGCUCAACGGAUAAAAGGUACUCCGGGGAUAACAGGCUGAUACCGCCCAAGAGUUCAUAUCGACGGCGGUGUUUGGCACCUCGAUGUCGGCUCAUCACAUCCUGGGGCUGAAGCCGGUCCCAAGGGUAUGGCUGUUCGCCAUUUAAAGUGGUACGCGAGCUGGGUUUAGAACGUCGUGUGACAGUUCGGUCCCUAUCUGCCGUGGACGUUUGAGAUUUGAGAGGGGCUGCUCCUAGUACGAGAGGACCGGAGUGGACGAACCUCUGGUGUUCCGGUUGUCACGCCAGUGGCAUUGCCGGGUAGCUAUGUUCGGAAUAGAUAACCGCUGAAAGCAUCUAAGCGGGAAACUAGCCUCAAGAUGAGAUCUCACUGGAACCUUGAGUUCCCUGAAGGGCCGUCGAAGACUACGACGUUGAUAGGUUGGGUGUGUAAGCGCUGUGAGGCGUUGAGCUAACCAAUACUAAUUGCCCGUGAGGCUUGACC